CUUUCGUAGCCACUGUAGUACAAUAUUUCCUCUAAUAAUAGCACAAUACUUAAUAAUUAAUUUCACUUUUAAACACUUUAUUUCUCACGGCGUCUGAGCUGUCAGUUUCUCACCAUGGCGGUCUAUAUCAGUGUUGCCGCAGACAAAUUUGUGAAUGUACCUCAAAAAAUAGAAAAACGUACCUCCUGGCAAAAAAAUGUACUUUUUUAAAAAAAUGGCCGACAAGAGCUAGUCUAUAGGAAAUUUUAUUGAAGCAAAAACAAUAAAAACAUCAUUCAUUUUUUUUUUAACGUUAUUAGAAAAAUUUUUAAUAUUUUUUUCAAAGUCUACAAUAACAAUGGGUUUACCUCCGUUUACAUUGAGCGCGCGCGUGCGCAUACUAUACAAUUUGAUUAGCUCAAGAAAUUUUUAAGAAAAAACGAAAACGUACUU